GAAGAACCACCUGAGCAAAAUGUUAGUUGGAUAUGAGAGAUUUCCAAAUCAAACAGUUGAUAUAGAAGGUGACUUGAGUGUGAUGAAAAACUGAGUAAUAUUUUGGCCGUCUUUCUUGAGUGAGUUAAUCUUCUCUCAAUGAUCGAAUAUCCAAAAAAAUCGCUUUGGUGGUAAGUGUCCUGGAGGCCGUGUUAAAUUUC
rnacentral:lncRNA from 1 species